GGAGGUGCCCAGGCUAUAACCUUGGACUCAAACUUGUUCAAUCAACGUUGGCCAACUUGUUGCAUGGAUUCAACUGGAAAUUGCCUCAUGGCAUGAAACCAGAAGAAAUUUGCAUGGAAGAAAUCUACGGACUCACAACUCAUCCAAGGACUCCACUUGCUAUGAUCCCAGAACCACGUUUGCCGGUCAAUCUCUACUAGAGAUCGUAUGAUUUAUGGGAAAAUUGAAAUAUGUUCCUUGUUGGCAUAAUAAACCAAACCUAAAAAUUGCUAGUGUAAGAUUUUUAGUGGUUGUGUGAUUUAGAAAUUUAUAUUUUAUUUGGUAAUUUCUUAUAUAAGUGGUUUCUUUCUCAACAAGUUUGCUAGGUUAUAAAUAAGACAUUAUUUAGUAUAUUUUUCAAGAGAGUCCAGAAAGGGUCUGUAAGGUUUUAUUAUGGUAUAAGUUUCUUCUACUAUUUUGAAAUAUCAAUAAUAGUGUGAAUUAUUUAUUUCUUUUGUCUCUCAUAAAUAUGUUAGUGAUUGUUUCAUCCUUUAAUCUAUAACCCUACACGCCUUAAUUAUUAUUAGAACUUUAAAAUUUGGAAUCUACAAUUGGUAUCACGAGCCAGACACGAGGUUAGUAUUGGGCGUUUCCAUUGUCGGAGAGUUAAGGUGUUUUUGCUGUAAGGGAAUUAAGGCACAAAUUUAUCGAAAAGUAUUCGAUUGAUUAAAUUAGACCACAAGGUUGGUCUUGAAGUGUAUAGUUGGCGAAAAAUUCAAUCACAAGAUUGGCUCAAAAAUUAUUAGAUUGUUACAGGUGUUAUGACAGAGAUCAGAGAAGAAUCUUGUCAGAGUGGUUGAUUGCUGUGGAUUGUUAGAUUGAAGAAUUUAAUUAGUUAAUCAACCAAGGAGGCCAAGAAACUUGACAAAAGAGGAAAGAAUUUGUUGAUAUACGUGCGUUAUUAAUGAUGGAUGUGUUUUGAGAUCUAUGUAAUAAUGAAAGGUAUAGCAUACUAGCUCCUAAAUAUAAAAGUCGGGAAUCAUAUUAUUGUUGAUUUUUAAGAGUAAAACAGUAUCUCGAACAAUGCAAUUUAGAUGAUUUUUUUGAUGGAUUGUUACAAAUGAAUUUCCAAAACAUGUUUUCAAGAGGAAGGCUAGAUUAUUUUUUUCAAGUUAUGUGAAAAACAAUGUUUGACUAUCUUUUCAAAAUAUUUGUUCAUCGUACUAAAAUACUUUGUAUAUUUUGGAAGAAUAUUUAUUAUGUUUUGCAAACUAUUGAAUUGAAUGAUGCUUUUAAAUCAAAAUUUGGUUAUUGGAUAUGGUUAGUUGAUUUUGAGAGUGAUAGAUUUGUAGAUGACAUGGGUGAUUUAGAAGAUUUUGAAUGGGUUGAUAGUUUAAAUUUGCAUACCAUAUUUGGAGAAAUUGGGAGUGAUGAUUUUGUUGAAAAAAAAAGAAUGUGUUAAUUUGACAAAGAAAGAAGAAAAUUUUGAUUUGAUAAGAGAAGAAGAAUAUGAAAUUGCUAUUGAAAAAUUUGUUGGUUUGGACUCUCUUCAAGAUGAUGGUAAGAUGUUUGAUUUGAUAGAUAUGGAUUUAUCGAAGUUGAAAAAUUUUUUACUUCUAAAGAAUUGAUUGACAUUGUGAAAUUUUUUGGUAUAAGAAUGCAAACUAUAAUUUUGUAUUCUUGGGCACUUACGUUGGUAGUAAAUAUGGUGACUUUCGUGAUGAAUGGUUUUGUCUGAAUAAGUGCUUUGAUCAAAAGGAAAUUAUUUGCAAAAUACAAAGUGCAUCCACUGCCACGAGUAAAGAUGAAAUAAAAAUUAGCAACAAGAUAGAGUUGCAUAUCAAUUACACUAUGACAUAGAUUUGCAUGGAGAUUGUUACUAGAGAUGGAGUUAAACCUAUCUCAAUGAAGAGUUUGGUUUAAGGGAGGCAAUGUUGACAAAAUAAGCCAAGCCUAAAAUUUUCUAUUCAUUUAUUUACCAAUUUUAUUGGUAUCAGAUUUUCAGUAGUUGUAUGGUUUAAAAAUUUGUGUUUUAUUUGGUAAUUUCUUAUGGUAGUGAUUUCAUUAACAAGUUUGUGUGGUUAUAAAUAGGACAUUAUUUAGAGUGUUUUCUCAAGAGAGUCCAUAAUGAGUCUAUGAGAUUUUAUUAUGGUGUGACUUUCUUUCAUUGUUUUGAGAUAUCAAUAAUAGUGUGAAUUAUUUAUUUCUCUCCAUGGUUGUAAAUAUUUGAGUGAGUGUUUUAUCUUUCAAUCUAUAAAUCUAUAUGCAUUAAUUAUUAUUAGAACUCUAUUUAAAAUUUGGGUUCUACAUUCCUACGCUGUAUCACUCAAUGGUUGAACUCAUUCUCUGCUCUCCAAUUGUAUUAUGCCCUUUUAAUCGCUUAGCCCAUUGAAAGUGUAGUGAUCGACAAAUUCCUGCAAGUACACAGGGGUCAAUCAGAAUAAUAAUUCACCAGAAAUAUUUUAGGGAUUGAACCCACAUGGAGGAGUCAAUUUUCUACUUUAAUUACCGCAACAAAAUAAUGAAAUUUAAAUUCAAAGGGUUUUUAAUCACUAAUUAAGAAAUUGAAUAAAUAAUCAAAUCAAAUCAAAUAUAGGUGAGAAAAUAAUUGGCAAAAGACUAGGGUUUAGGUUUUGAUCUAGAUUUUGAAUUAUUUAUCUAGUUAAUUUCGUAACAUGUCAAGAAUAUAUCAUGCAAAAGUAUUAUAGAUUACCUUUUGAUACAUCCAAAUUGCGCCCAAUUAAAUUUCAUGUCUCUCGCAAAAUUAUAAAUAUUUAAUUAGGAGAUAAUUUUAGAAACCUUCCCUGAGGUUUCUGACAAUUUCACUCACAUCCCUUCAGAUUUGAAUAAUUACACUAACCUCCCUUCAUAUAGCUAAAUGAUUAUAAUAUCCUUCACUUAUAAAUAAUUCCUACAAACAAAAUAAAAAUCCCCCACAACUACAACUAGCUUUCCAUUCUAAAGCAACGGUUGCCACAUAAAAUAACUCUUAUUCUCUCUCUCUGACUCUUCCUCCUACUUUCUUUCUCCUGCAUCUCAUAAUUCACUAUUUUUUUCAUAACUGCCAUCUACACAACCAUCUAAUACAUCUCGAAUCCUUAUUAUUAUGGAAAUAGAUACUCUCUCUUUUUUUGUAAGUAUUAUUGAAUUAAAAUUGUUAAAUGACAAGUUAUCGGAUCAGAUUUAUUGUCAAACUAAAUGAAGAUGAAAAUGAUGAUGAUGAUACAGAAUAUAGACAAGAAAAUAAAACUGAUAGCUAAAAAGGAAACAUGGAUUGAGGAAGAUUGUGUUAUUAUGUCAAUUGUGUAAAAAAGAAUUUUGGGAUAAAUACUGCAAUUUGAUUUGCCUGGAGGGAUGUUGUUUCUAGUGUUGCUUUUGGUUGCUCUAUGUUGGUUUUCUUGGUGGAUUAUAUUAUUUUAGCAUUAACAAAGUUGUAGCAUUUUGGAUUGAGUUUGGAUAGUGACAUUGAUCAAUUCAAGCACAGAAUUUAGACCCAAAAAAAUGAGGCUAAAGAUUAGGUGAAUGCAAACUUUUAUUGUCACUGUUAAUUUGUAUAGGAAGUUUUGGGGUAGCAAUGGUAUGCUGUCAAAAUUGUGAGAAUAUGGGGAUUAAACUGAAGUAAUUUAUUGAGUUUGUUAAGGUAGUAGUUAUGUUGUUUACAAUAUUUGUAACGUGGAAGAAAUUUAUUAGUGUGGUUUUUCGCUUCUAAGUAACAUAGGGGAACUUUAGGAUUUUUGAGAACAAAUUUAGUAUAUUGAGUCUAUAUUGUUACUGAAAUGCUGACCAUAAGGAAGGUAGGUGUAAUUUUUUAAACUAGAGAUGAGUUUCCUGUAAUAAUAAAAAAUCUCAGGAGAGGUUUUUGAAAUUAUCCCUUAAUCAAAUGCUUUAAGAUCUUAGCUGAUUUAAUUACGUUAUACAAAUUCUAACUUACUGUCGUGAUGGGGUUAAGCAUAUUUAUCUAUUUAGUGCAUGAUUAUAUAUCUCUUUUCAGUUCAAUACAAAUCUUAAAAGCAUGUCUAUGGUUGCUAAUCGCAACCAUGUAAUUAAAACAAGAUAAAUAAAUCAAGACAACAGUAAAAAAUUUAACUAGAAUAAAUAAUCAAUUUUCUUCAAAGAAUCCUAAGCCUAGAAGUAAAUUAGUUCAUCAUAAUUGUAAGAAUAAACAAGAAUUGAAUAUUGAAAAUACAAGACUUCAAAUAAAGAGUAAGAAAAGUUUCUUACCGAUUCCAAAUCCCAUGUCUUGACUGUCAAUCUCGAUUCUUCAAUUCCUAAAGAAAGCCAUAGAACUAAUGUUUUGACAAGUGUUUUAUCUCCUAAAAAUGUUCUAAGUACUCCCAUUUCUAUAAUCUUAAAAUUAAAGAAACGAGCCCCGCAUAGUUUUUCGAUGACAUCCGGUGACAAGUCCAGCGCCGCAGGACUUUGAGCUUGCAUGUCACGCACAACUUUCAUCCAUUCUUCUUCAGGAUCAAUUUUCCACGCGUUUGGAAUACAUUUCCUCCUCGAUCUCACUUUUUUACAAGUUAGGAUCCAAUUAAAGCACAAAAAGGCAUAAUCAACCAAUAAUUUACAUACGUAACAUUGCUAAAAUCCACACCCUACUAGAGAGCUUGGAAGUUGGGACAGUAAAUUUCACCUAAGAAAACUUUAAAGAGACAAUAUUCCUUUUGGUGAUUUCAAUUGUGAAACAAAACAAAAGUCACAAUCAAAAAAUUUUUUUGCCACAAAACGAGAGCCAAAAUAUCACAAUUAUAACAUGUGGAAGAAUUCACAUGGAAAUAUUGAAGAUUGAAGAAAGAGAUAAAUAAAUAAAUAAAUAAAAAUAGCGCCCUUGUUACUUGUUAGCAAAUAAAAUAGGUACACAACGGAAUUAAAUAUCCUACCUAUACUAAAAGCAGGAGCUUACAAUUGAGAUUGGAAUUGGGUUGACUUGAUUGUCCCUUUAUUCCAAAGCUGAUUGGACCGUUUUUGUGGUAGCAAUUGUUGUGAUUCUGAGCAACUUCAGUGGCAAUUGAUAACAUACGUCUUCUUGGUCUCUUUUUCCGCUUCCAUUAAAACUCUGACCCCAUGGGAUAGCUGAAGGUCAGGGUUCAACCCUGCCUCCCACAAACUUAUCACUUUAUGUGGCUGGUCUUCUGCCCUCACGGGAUAGCUCGAGCGGUCCGCUCUCCCCUACUUAGGGUAUGGCCGACCUUUUUGGUUUGUCCAGGAUUCGAGUCCCCGCUGUUAACGUACUCGAAGUGGAGUGGGGCGUCCUCUUCCGAGCCGCAGGGGAUUAAUCGGGCCCCGUAAGGAUUGACCCGGACACCCCUGUGUUGACAAAAAAAAAAAUAAAAAUUAAAACUCUGACAGGACGGAAUGAUAAAGCAGGUAAGUAGCCAUUGUUCCAAUUACACACCAAUUUCAUGCUUAAUCCCCCUCACCCCCCUCAAUUUUGCUUUUCCACGUAAAUUUGUUUUUUUUUCUGAUUAACUUUUUUUUAAGGCUUUUUUUUUAUGGAAUUUUGUUUCAGUAGGUUUUUGUUAACUAAUUUGUACCUUUUUUUUUUUUUUUAAUGAACUAUGAAUUCUCGCAAAAUUGAAACUCUAGACAAAUGGAAGGGAGGGAUGUGCUAAACAGGUUUAAGUCAAUCAAUUUGCCUUGCAAUUGUCCAAAGUAUUAAAGAAAUUAAUGUCGUUUCUUAUAGUCCAAUUAAGUUGUGCUGAUACGAUGAUGACAUAAAGUACCUUGCACCAUAAAGUUUAGUUAAUGACAAUUUAGUACAUAAAACUUCUAUUUCAUGCUACAAUCCAAUUCAUAACUGUAUGCUAAUGAUGGUUGAACAUAUAUAAGUUACACAUUUGAGAAGCAAAAUUAUCCUAGUCUCUUUAGCAUUGAUGAAUUAGUGUUUAAUUAUGGCAUUUCAAUUUAACCGUUGACAAGUAAUUGUGUGACAAGUCCCUGAAAAAUGAUUGUCAAUAUGAGAUAGAGAUAGAGAUAAAAGUAGGAUGUAUCUAAUUUUACAUUUCUCUUAUCAGAAUUGUUGAAGAGUCUGGAAAAUAUCCCAAUAACAACAGUCUCUAAUCCAUGAAAAAAAAAAUAAUCUUAUUCAUCAAAGUCAUGAUUUUGAUAUCCUUCAACGAAAGUAACACAGACUUGCUUUUUUUUUUUUUUUUUUUGAGCCCAAAAACUUCCCAGUACUUUCCAAUUUGUUGGUUAAUGGAAUAUGAACUUUCUCAAUAUAGUUCAUUGACUAUUUAUCCAUAAUUUUAACAGAUUCUUCUCAUGGCAUGAAACUUAUCUAAUAAUAAAUUCAAAAUAGUCAUAAUUGAUAUUUCAGGAUAGCCGCAAAAGCAAUUAGUAAAUGGAAACGUUUAAUGAAGAAAGUAAAAUCAAUGCAUGUAUGGCAACCUUUGAAUCUAUUACUUGAGUUAACAUUGGUUAAUUCAACUAUUACGUUUUAAAUUAUUUUUCAACUAUUAUGUUUUAAAUUUCAAUGCAUGUUCUAUUAUUUAUUAUGUGUUUGUUUGGAUAGUGCAUUAUUUAGAAUAAUUACUAUAUUACAUUUUGUGAUGUAAUGUAUGUGAAAUAAAAAGAUGAUUGGGAAUAUAAAAAAUUCGGUUAGAAAAUAUAUUUAUGAUGCAAGCGAAAUAUUAUUUUAAAAAAUUUGGUAUCCAAACACUCAUGAUUCAUACCACUAUUUUUGGAAAAAUUUGGAAAAAUUCAUAACAUGAUUCAUAACACUAACUACUAUUUUUUGGAAAAAUUCUUGGAUAUUAUAGUUUUUCUUACCAGUAUUUUUUUUAAAGAUUUAUCUCAUAUUCCAAUGUUGUCCAAUGAAAACUACAGGGAAUGGAAGAACACAAGAUUCUUCGGACAUUAGAAUGCAUGGAUCUUAAUUUGGCAUUUCGUGAGAAUAAACCACUCAUUCCCCUAUAUUCUAAUUUGUCAAACGAAAGGGCUGCUUAUGAGCAUUACGAGCAAUUUAAUCGCUUAACUUUGAUACUCAUUAAGUCACAUAUCAGCAAAGCAUUAGGGUUUUAACUGCUAACUGUAACCAAGUCAAAGCUUACAUGAUGAUAAUUGAUAAACAUUUUGUAAUCUCUAACAAGGCCUUGACUAGCACUCUUACGAAGAAAUUUGCCAAAUUGGGUGAUAUAAAUUACCAAAUUUGCCAAAAGUGGAAUGUGAAAUUCCUCCAAAAUUCAUGGAAGGAAAAGAAAUAAUCAAGACUUCAAUAAUGGAAACGGAAGCAAGAAUAACGCUACGCAAGACGGCGUGGACUUCAAUUGUUUUUGUUUUUCCAGUGUUCAAUUCCUUUGGAGUUUCAAUAUUUGGAUUGUGGUUUUUUAAGAAAAAAAUUUUACAAUUUUCAUGAAUAUAUUUUUUAAUAUCUUAUUAUCUUAUAUAUAUAUAUUAAAUUAUUAUAGUAUAUUUUUUACAAAAACUUUAAAAAAAUAACAAUCUAAACGCAACUGCAGCGCUAGUGCUUGGCAAGCUUGAAACAAUCCUCUCGAAUUAAGGCUUCCCUAUUCUGUCUAUCCCACAUCGUUCUUGGGGGGUUAAGGGUUGGGUAGUUAAGUUUCCAAGUUUGCCUCAAAAGUUACCGACUUUUGAGGUUAAAUUUGAAAUUAGGUUUAAUUAAACAAUUUCUUACUUCUGUAAGAAAAGGAAAAAGAAUUAAGGUGUGAUAAUUUUGACAAAAAAAAAUGAAGGUGUGAUAAUGCUGCACGUCAUCUCGAUUUUUCAGAUUCCUACUUCUUCUAUACCUUGACAAAAGACAUGUCUAUGUCUGGCAGGAAGUGUGAUAAUGCUGUACGGCAUCAACAAUUUUUCAGAUUCCUACAACUUCAAUACUUUGACGGGAUAAUUUUAAAAACCUCCCUUGGGAUUUUGAUAAUUUUACUCUGCUUUCCUCAAGUUUAAAUAAUUAGGCUUACUUCCCUUGACAUAAUAAAGGACCUAUAAUGACCUUCACUUAAUAGACAAUUCACAGUAUAAUACAAUAUAUAUUUGGAAAACCCAAAAAAAAAAUCAUAUUUUUCUAUGUCUUGCCUAACUCCACUCUUCUCUUUUCUAGUUAUUAUACUAUUAUACCCUCUUUUUUUUCUUCAAUUUUAUAGAUAUUACCAAAUUGAAAUUGUAAAAUUAAUAGUUCAAUUGAGGGACUGAAUUAUAUAUCAAAUUAGAAAAAAAUGAAGAGAUUUGGAGUGAUAGAGAAAAAAAUAACGAAAUUAAUGAUUGAAACAGGUUGGAGGAUCAAAGAUGGGAAAUUUACCAUAUAUAUAUAUAUAUUUUUUUUUUCUGUGGCAAGCAUUGAUGAUCCUUUGGAUAGUUGCUUUGAUUUGGAAUUAGAGUUUUUACUUAGGUGGUUGUUAUGAAUUGGGAUGGUCAAUUUGUGAUAAGUGUGGAAGAAAAGGAUUGAAUAUAUUGUAUUUUUCCUCAAAGGGUAAUUUAGAUUUUGAGAAAAAAUCUUUAGUUUGUUGGUCCUAUAUUAUUAUAUAAACAAUAAAAGUUAGGAUUUAGAUGUAAUUUUUAAAACUUCAAAAGAGCUUUUGGCAAUUAUGAAAAAUCUUAAGGAAGGUUCAUGAAAUUAUCCCAUACUUUGACAAAAGACAUGUCAAUGUCAGCAAGACGUGUGAUAAUGCUGCACGCAUCAAUGAUUUUUCACAUCCCUACAACUUCAAUACUUUGACAAACGACAUAUCUAUGUGGCAAGGAGUGACAUAAUAUGACAAAGAGCAAAUUUUCUAAAUAGUCCUUCAACUUUUUAACUAAUUCAUGUUUGGUCCUUCAUCUUAAAAAUGAGAUAGAAUGAUCCUUCAAUAAAAUUUUUUAGACCAAAUUGGUUCUUAUAUGGCAUAGCAGCCAAUAAAAAGUUCGAUCAAAGUGGUGAUGAGAUUUGAAUUUUCUUGCCUGUUCUGUCACAUAGGGAUCAAUUCGGCCUAAAAAAUUUCAUUGGAGGGCCAUUAUGUCCCAUUCUUAAGAUGAAGGAUCAAAUAUGAAUUAGUAAACAUUUUGAAUGACUAUUUGGGGGAUUUGCUCCAUAAUAAAAUUGAAAGGCUGGGAUGUUUAGAAAAUAUUUAGAGGCUUUUAGCAAAGUGUAUUAAUGGGAAAAAAUGAUUUGAUGGGCAUACCCAUGAGAUAAUCUUGACCUAUUGAACUUGAAGAGGACACGGCUGCCGUGGAAAUUAAGUUCAAAUUAAGACAAUUCGUGGUUUCUGACCUACAGCAAUGAGUGAUAUUUUUAGGAACCUCUCUUGGAGUUUUUGAUAAUUAUUUAGUAUCCUUAAACUUCUAAAAUUAUCACUUACCUCCCUUAUCAUUCAAACUGAACGUCACAAGUCACCAAUUGAUAUUUUUACCCUCAAUACUAUAGGUUUAUUCUGGAAAAAUACUUUCCAACCAAAAGAAUUGGCAUGAUUUUCUUCUUUUUCUUUUUUUUUCUUUUGAAUUUUGCCCUGUUUUAAUAAAAAUGUCGCAUAUAUUAGUCCCAAUUCAGGAGAUUAUAUUUUUUAGCGUAAUUCUUUUAUGCCAGUUUACCUACCACAUUCCCCGCAUUAAUUUCAUUGCCUUCAUAUUAUUGGAAGAGUUUGUAUUUUCACUAGCGAAGUUGAGCUUGUUUAGGGUUUUUUUUCCUCCGCUCUCAAUUUUUUUUUCUUAGUUUUGGCUCUCAAAAAUUUCUGGUUGUGGCCUUGCAAUUAGAACCACUUUUUUUUUUUUACUAAUAUUGAAAGAUUUGGUGAAUCGGAUGACUUCCCACUUGAAUUUCAAGAGACCAAUCUUGUUCUCUCUAUUUCUUUACUUUAUAUUUUAAAAUCUGUUCAUCAAUGUUUCAAUUCUUUUCACCUCAACUCUCUCCAUAUGCAUUUCCAGCAACAUAAGUAUCCGUUCCGAUUUCAACAAUAAUGUGCAUAAUAGUUGUUAUUGUUAUAUUUAGUUGCAUUACAAUAACAAACACUACACAAAUUUUUCUUGAAUUUUAAAUCUUUUAUUAAUUCUAAUAUGGAUUUUGCAUAAUGAACGAACAAGACAACUGAAAGGGCAAUUUUGAAAUAAAAAUAUGCUCAAUUUACUUAAAUGAAUCAUUUAAUCUUACUUUGCUCCUAGUUAGGGGUAGUACAUGAAUCGAGUUGCUCGCAAGAAAUUCAGUCAAAGCUCUACUCGAACUCGAGUUUGAUUGAUACUCGAGUCAAUUAUUGAAUCGAAUUCAAGCAUCUAGGUAAUUGUUAAAUUACCUAAAAACCUAUAUUUUUAGCAAAAAUUGUCUUACCACUCGAGCUCGAAUUUGAUCUUAAUUUGCUUCUUGAGCACCUUUAUCUUUCACAUGAGCCGAGCUUGAGUUUCAAAGUUGAUGAGCUCAAACCUGAGUUCGAGCUCAAGUAAUGUCUUCAAGCUCAUCGAGCUCGAGCUUGAAUACAUUCUGUAUUUGAGUUUGACUCCGUUCAUUGCCAUUCCUAUCCUAGUCAUUGAACAUGUUACAAAAUAAUUUAUUUAGGGGAGGUUAAUGAGAUUUUCGAAAGUUUCGAAGUUCUAAGUGAUAUUCACAAGAACCUUAGGGAAGGUUUUCAAAAUUAUCCGAAGAAUCAAUUCAAAGCCAUUAAUGCGUGUGGCACAGAUUAACCUUAUCAAACAUGACCAUGUGCAUAAAACCCCCACUGGAGUUCAUUGCCAUACUAACUUAUUUCAGAUCUGAUGGAGACUUGGCUACUCUUAGCCUUGGCAUGGGCUGUUGCAUUGGCUUUUCUCUCAAAAGUAUCCACUCACAAACGCCUAAAGCUAAAUCAUCCACCAGGACCAAAACCAUGGCCUAUUAUUGGCAACUUGAAACUCCUAGGUUCAAUCCCACAUCAAUCCUUGCACUUGCUGUCCCAGAAAUAUGGAGAAAUCAUGCAACUAAAAUUUGGUUCCAGCCCUGUUGUAGUAGCUUCAUCCCCUGAAAUGGCAAAAGAAUUCUUGCAAACACAUGACAACAUCUUCGCCUCUCGGCCUACAACUGCUGCUGGCAAAUACACUAGCUAUAACUGCUCCGAUUUGACAUGGGCACCUUAUGGUCCAUUCUGGCGACAAGCUCGUAAACUUUAUCUAACCCAAAUAUUUAAUCCAAAGCGACUUGACUCCUUCGAGAGCAUACGCAUUGCAGAAAGGCGUGCUUUCAUUUCUAGCUUGUAUGCUCUCUCAGGAAAGCCAGUAGUUAUGAGAGAUCAUCUAACACGUCUUACCCUCUCCACUGCAAGCCAGAUGGUUUUGAGUAACAAGUACUUUGCGCAAUCUGAAGGGGAGGGAUCUCUACCUACCUUUGAAGAAUUCCAAGAGAUGAUAGAUACUUGGUAUUUGCUGAGUGGUGUGUUCAAUAUUGGGGAUUGGAUGGCUAGACAGAUUUGACCUCCAAGGUUAUGUAAAGCAAAUGAAAGAACUUCACCAGAAAUUUGAUAGAUUCCAUAACCAUGUGCUUGAUGAUCACCAGGCCAAAAGGAAAACGGAGAAGGAUUUUAUCCCUAAGGACAUGGUUGACAUUCUAUUGCAAUACGCUGAAGAUCCAGAUCUCCAGGUUAAACUCACCAGAGAUCAGAUAAAAGGGCUAAUUCAGGUGCUAUUUCUUCUCAUUGUUUAAUCAAAUUCCUAGGUCUCUGACUCUUUACCUCUUUAAGUUACUGAAUCUGAAAGCCAGCAGUCUUGCUUACUAUAAUGUGCCAUGAAAGAUAACAGUCUCCUUUCUUCUAAUUAAGAGUUUUUUAUUUCCUUUCUAGAUUAAUAGUAUUACAAUUUGUAGUAAAGUAUCAACAAUAUUUGAUCAUAGAGGCACUAACUUUACCAAUAUGUCAUGUUCAGGACUAACUUUACCAAUGUGUUGCCGACAUAACUAGGGAUGGCAACGGGGCGGGUACCCGCCCUGCGAGGGUUCAUUGGGGCGGGGGCGGGGGGAUUUUUUCCCCUCGUUUAGAAACGGGGCGGGGGUAUACUCCCUCGCCCCACUCCCACUCCGCCACCCGUUUGAAAUGUACAUAAUUAUAUAUAUAAUGAUAUUAUCAAUUAUACUACUAAUUAUACAUGUCUAUUAAUAAAAAUUAUUAAUUAUUUAUACUAAAUUUAUUAAUACAUUUAUAUUAAAUUCCUAACUACACUUAAUACAAUAACACUUUUUUCUAAAAAAAACUCAAUAAUAAUUUAGUGAUUGUAUUUGUAUCAAAAGUGAAAACUUGAUUAUUUUAGUUAUAUUUGUUUUAUUAUAUUAGAUUGUAUUUAAAUAACCUUUGUUUAUUUAUUUUUAUGAGUUUCAAUUGUGAAGUUACAAUGAAUAAUAAUUUGGUGAUGUGUUGAUAUUUUAGUAUUUGAUUAUUUGCUCAAAUUUAAUUAUAACAAAAUUAUAUAAUAAAAUUUUUUUAACCCCGCGGGGGAAGCGGGCGGGGCGGGGGGAAUUAAAAUGCAAUGGGGCGGGGUUGGGGGAGGUGUCCCCCGCCCCACCUCGCCUCAUUGCCACCCCUAGACAUAACGCGCUAUUAAAGAUAACUGUCUUCACCCUCCAAAAAAAAAAGAUAAUUGUCUUCUUUCAUCCUUCUGAUUAAGAGGGCUUUGUUGAAUUUUCCAAGAUUCCAAUAGGAGAUUUUUGAAUACAACUAUGAUAUAAAUGCGUACCAUUUAUAAAACUAAUCUCUGAAAAAAAAACCAUUAACUAGAUUCAUAUUGAUUCAUUGCUAUUUGAAUCCUUUAAAUCUUAGGCUGGCCUUUCAAAUCAACAUUUAUUCGUUUAUUCUUAAAGAGAGUUCUUCAAUUUCUCUCUGGUAUCUAGGAUAUAAGAACUAUUUUGCAAUACCAAAGUAUACGACAUAAAAAUGCAUGUGAUCUGGGGAUUAUAACUAUAAUAUAAAUAACUUUUCUAUUAUCUUUUGGUAUUUCUAUUUUAAUCCAUCAUAAAAAUAGAAAUUAUCCAUAAGUCUCUAUACAUUAAAAGUCAAUAAUGUAUAAAAGCCAAUAUCUUAUGAAAUACAUUAAAAUCCAAAUUAUAAUUGAUUACUUAAUUGGAUUUAAUCUGAUUUUACAAUUUGCAAUACAUAAUUAUUCAUAUAUAAGUCUAGCAUUGGAUCUAGGAUCCAACAGUUUUUUUCCUUCCAAUCUGUUGUAAAGCUUGAUACUUCACCAAUAUUUAAUCAUGGCAGGACUAACAUCUAACUUUACCAUUAUUUGAUCAUGGCCAGGACUUGCUGGUUGGUGGUACCGAUACCUCAGCCCUUACAGUAGAAUGGGCAUUGAAUGAACUUCUCAAACAUCCACGUCUCAUUCGAAAGGCAACCGAAGAGCUUGACAGAGUGAUAGGGAGAGAUAAGUGGGUGGAAGAGGCUGAUUUCUCAAAACUGCCUUUUCUAGAGGCGAUCAUAAAGGAAACUCUCAGGUUACAUCCACUGGCAACGCUACUUUCGCCCCGUUAUGCCCUCGAGGAUUGCACUGUAGCUGGUUAUAACAUUGCUAAAGGAACAACGGUGUUUAUAAACACAUGGAGUAUAGGGAGGAACUCAAAGUAUUGGGAUUCUCCAGAAGAAUUCAUUCCAGAGAGGUUUUUGGAGAAGGAUAUUGACAUGAAGGGACAAAACUUUGUGCUACUGCCCUUUGGCUCAGGUCGGAGGAUGUGCCCAGGCUAUAACCUUGGAAUCAAACUUAUUCGAUCAAUGUUGGCCAACUUGUUGCAUGGAUUCAACUGGAAAUUGCCUCAGGGCAUGAAACCAGAGGAAAUUUGCAUGGAAGAACACUACGGACUCACAACUCAUCCAAGGAUUCCACUUGCUAUGAUCCCAGAACCACGUUUGCCGGUCAAUCUCUAUUAGCGAGCAUGAUUUAAGGCAAAAUUGAAAUAUGUUCCUACUGUAUCAAUCAAAGGUUAAACUCAAUUG
rnacentral:lncRNA from 1 species